CUAGAGCCACAUUUCCCUAACUUACAGAGGCUCUACGCUAGAGAAUAAACUUGUUUCUUUAUCUGAUCCAAGGAGAUGUGGCCCGGAGAGGUUGCGUCCCCUCAGAGGCAUGGAAGGACUUGAGGUUGCGAACACUUUAUAAGUUGUUUUGCCCGACACGGAUGGGAAUCACUGCUCUCCUGUUUGCGGGUCAAGUGGAAAGAGGCACUUUCUCAGCUCUACUUCCUCCGAAACCAUCUCUUCCGACGAUCUGAUCCUUCUUUCUCCAUGUUGUCCCCCUUCCACCCCUGAGCAGCCUCCAUUCACCUGCAAGGUGAUUCGCUGCUCCUGACACAUGUUUUCAGAAGGGAUUUCCCAUCACAAUUUUCCGGUUUGGAUGUCAUCCAAGUCUGCUUAUUUGUUUUAUUUUAUUAUCCUAGUUGUUCUUUCUGGUAUCUGGUAGAAAAGGGAAAGUUUGAAAACCCAGUUUCUGCCAUUCUCCUGCCAGAACUUGAAGCAUCAAUUGGGUCAAAUUUGGUAAUACACAUUGUCCUAGGAAGUUACAGUUUUCCCUGAAGUGUUCAAAUUAAUUUGAUGAACUUUUACAUCAUUAGAAGGGAUUUUAAGUAUACAAUUACAUUUUAUUUCUAAAGGACUUUAUUUAUCUGUUUAUUAAGAUUUGUAUUUAUUUAUUCAUAAGAUACACAUAGAGAGAGGCAGAGAGACAGGCAGACGGAAAAGCAGGCUCCAGUCAGGAAGCCCGAUGUGGGACUCGAACCCGGGACUCCAGGAUCACACCCUGGGCUGAAGGCAGGUGCCAAACCACUGAGCCACCCACGUGUCCCUAAAGGACUUUAUUUUAACUUAUAUAAAUCAGACAAACAUUAUUUAAUGAAUAAUUUUUGAAAAAAAAAUAGCCCUUCUCUAUAAAUACGU
rnacentral:lncRNA from 12 species